rnacentral:rRNA from 1 species
CCUACGGGAGGCUGCAGUGAGGAAUAUUGGUCAAUGGGCGAGAGCCUGAACCAGCCAAGUCGCGUGAGGGAAGACGGUCCUAUGUAUUGUCAGCCUCUUUUGUCGGGGAGCAAAAAGUCCUCGUGCGGCCACAAGUGAGCGUACCCGACGACAAGCAUCGGCUAACUCCGUGCCAGCAGCCGCGGUAAUACGGAGGAUGCGCGCGUUAUCCGGAUUUAUUGGGUUUAAAGGGUGCGUAGAGGGACUGGAAAGUCCGUGGUAAAAUCGAUAGGCUCAACCUCUUUCCGCCGUUAAAACUGUCGGUCUGGAGUGGGCGAGAGGUAUGCGGAAUGCGUGGUGUAGCGGUGAAAUGCAUAGAUAUCACGAAGAACUCCGAUUGCGAAGGCAACAUACCGGCGCCCGACUGACGCUGAGGCACGAAAGCGUGGGUAUCGAACAGGAUUAGAUACCCUGGUAGUC